GAUGAACGCUGGCGGCGUGCCUAAUACAUGCAAGUCGAGCGAAGCGGGGACGGGUGAGUAACACGUGGAUAACCUCCUAUAAGACUGGGAUAACUUCGGGAAACCGGAGCUAAACCGGAUACUUAUAGAUGGAUCCGCGCUGCAUUAGCUAGUUGGUAAGGUAACGGCUUACCACGGCAACGAUGCAUAGCCGACCUGAGAGGGGGACCGGCCACACCUGAACUGAGGCAAGGUCCAUACGCCUAAGGGUGGCAGCAGUAGGUAAGCUUUCGCAAUGGGCGGAAGGCUGACGUGGCAACCGCGGGUGGGUGGUUAAGGUCUUCGGGUCGUAAAACUCUGUUAUUAGGGAAACGGUUCCUAAUCAGGAAGCCACGGCGAACUACGUGCCAGCAGCCGCGGUAAUUC
rnacentral:rRNA from 1 species